AUGAGCGGUGCACCGCAAAGGCCAAUUUGGAAAAAUCUUAACUACAAACAAAUAAAAAAUGGCAGAAAAUACUCAGCCCAGUGUUUGUUUUGUGGUCAAACAUUGCAACAGAUCGACUGGUAUCGCAUAGAAAACGAUGUUCACAGAAAAAGAAUACUGAUGACACUAUAAUUCUAGAAGUGGACGAAAUCGACACCAGUGCAAUGAGAUUAAAUGAUUCCGCACAUUCAGUAAUGGACGUGUCAGCAAGUAGCACCCUUAUUGAUGCAGAUAAUAUUGUAUUUGAUAUCAUAUCAUCAGAAUCGCAGCCUUCAACAACUCCAGAAGCAACACCUUCAUCAUGCUCCUCAAGUAAUGCGAUAUGUUUUAAAGAACCUUGUGAAAAGCAGAAAAAGAAAAAAACAGGAGUUUGACCUAUUUCUGAACAGAAGAUCCUACUUCGGAAAAUGGCAUCGCUAAAAUAUCCACAUCUGGCAGAAACAGCUUUGAAAUUAAUCAAUAUACCCUCCUCUUCAGCGCAAAUUGAACGCUUAUUUUCGAAUUGGAAUUUUAUUCAUUCAGAUUUGAGGAACAGACUCUCGUUUGCAAGGUCCAAAAAGCUACUUUUUAUUUAUUAUCAAAUGAAAACUAACCUAAUCAAUGAAGAAUCGGACAGUGAAAAUUAAUAAAAGUAUUAAAAUACUAAA